rnacentral:tRNA from 1 species
UUAAUUGAAGCCAAAAAGAGGCUUUCCAUUGUUAAUGGGAUCAUUGAUUAAUAUCCAAUUAAA